rnacentral:rRNA from 1 species
AUUGAACGCUGGCGGCAGGCCUAACACAUGCAAGUCGAGCGAGCGGCGGACGGGUGAGUAAUGUCUGGGAAACUGCCUGAUGGAGGGGGAUAACUACUGGAAACGGUAGCUAAUACCGCAUACCAUCAUAUUUGCCCAGAUGGGAUUAGCUAGGAGGUGGGGUAACGGCUCACCUAGGCGACGAUCCCUAGCUGGUCUGAGAGGAUGACCAGCCACACUGGAACGGAGACACGGUCCAGACUCCUACGGGAGGCAGCUGUGGGGAAUAUUGAACAAGGGGUGCAAGACUGAUGCAGCCAUGCCGCGUGUUGGAAGAAGGCCUUCGGGUUGUAAAGCACGUGCAGCGGGGAGGCGUUACCCUCAGAAGAAGCACCGGCUAACUCCGUGCCAGCCGCCGCGGUAAUAC